AGAGUUUGAUCAUGGCUCAGAGUGAACGCUGGCGGCAGGCCUAAUACAUGCAAGUCGAACGGCAGCACAGCAGAGCUUGCUCUGUGGGUGGCGAGUGGCGGACGGGUGAGGAAUACGUGGGAAUCUGCCCAGUCGUGGGGGAUAACGUAGGGAAACUUACGCUAAUACCGCAUGCGCCCUUCGGGGGAAAGCCGGGGACCUUCGGGCCUGGCGCGAUUGGAUGAGCCCACGUCGGAUUAGCUAGUUGGCGGGGUAAAGGCCCACCAAGGCGACGAUCCGUAGCUGGUCUGAGAGGAUGAUCAGCCACACUGGAACUGAGACACGGUCCAGACUCCUACGGGAGGCAGCAGUAGGGAAUAUUGGACAAUGGGCGCAAGCCUGAUCCAGCCAUGCCGCGUGAGUGAAGAAGGCCCUCGGGUUGUAAAGCUCUUUUGUCCAGAAAGAAAAGCGCCGGGUUAAUACCCUGGUGUCCUGACGGUACCGGAAGAAUAAGCACCGGCUAACUUCGUG
rnacentral:rRNA from 1 species